rnacentral:rRNA from 1 species
AGAGUUUGAUCAUGGCUCAGGAUGAACGCUAGCUACAGGCUUAACACAUGCAAGUCGAGGGGCAGCGGGAUUGAAGCUUGCUUCAAUUGCCGGCGACCGGCGCACGGGUGAGUAACGCGUAUCCAACCUUCCGUACACUCAGGGAUAGCCUUUCGAAAGAAAGAUUAAUACCUGAUGGUAUGAUGAAAUUGCAUGAUAGCAUCAUUAAAGAUUUAUCGGUGUACGAUGGGGAUGCGUUCCAUUAGGUAGUAGGCGGGGUAACAGGCCCACCUAGCCUACGAUGGAUAGGGGUUCUGAGAGGAAGGUCCCCCANAUUGGAACUGAGACGACGGUCCAAACUCCUACGGGAGCA